CGCUUCCGCUGUCGAUCUACGAGGGUACGUGGACAACACUCUCCCCUCUCGUUGCUAUGCAUCACCAUGAUCUUGCUUGUGCAUAGGAAAAUUUUUGAAAUUACUACGUUCCCCAAUAGCGAAGCAGCCCUAUGGCUGUUCGGUGAAGCAGACAACUGAAUCUCAUCUGCCGGGUUGAAAGAGGCGAUGAAUCAUCAGUUCUUGGAAGUGUUAACGACAACUGAUGUGUGUUGCCGUUCACCUGCAUCGUUUAGUGGAGAUAUACAUUGUUAUUUUCCUGGCCUGCAGCUGCUUGACUUCAUGCGCCUGAAUAUGUAACUUCCCGUCCUUCUCUGACUGUAGUAGCUAUGGUUCACGGUUGUAUUGCCCACUAUCUUUAUUUUUCUCUUUCCCCUACGAUUCCCUCUUCCACUUAGCAAUUCUUUUCUGCUAAUGUCUUUCCAAACUCAGUUUGUACAGGGGUUUGUCAAUCCUGGAUCUGGUCAACUAUUUGAUUCAGACUGAUCAUGGAGGCUGGUUCUCAUAUUUUUCUUGGUGAGUUCUUCAAUGCACAAUUUGCCAUGGCUGCUGAUCAGCACAUGGCCACUUCUCAAGAGAAGGCAAACUACCUACAUGCAACAAUUAUAAUCUCACUGGCCCCUUGAGUCAUUCCAGUCCUACAAUGUUCAAAAAAUAUAUGUAAACAAAUUGAUGGCUAAAGUAGACCUGAAGUUCAAGGAAGCUAUCCUUAUAUAUUUAGAAUUCCAUCUAUGCAUACAUAUGUACUGGACCAUCUACGAUAUUCAUAAUCCGUGUCCUAAGAC